UACGUUGGGGGCAAGCGUUGUCCGGAAUCAUUGGGCGUAAAGCGCGUGUAGGCGGCCCGGUAAGUCCGCUGUGAAAGUCGGGGGCUCAACCCUCGGAUGCCGGUGGAUACUGUCGGGCUAGAGUGCGGGAGAGGCGAGUGGAAUUCCUGGUGUAGCGGUGAAAUGCGCAGAUAUCAGGAGGAACACCAAUUGCGAAGGCAGCUCGCUGGAACGUUACUGACGCUGAGACGCGAAAGCGUGGGGAGCAAACAGG
rnacentral:rRNA from 1 species